rnacentral:rRNA from 1 species
GACGAACGCUGGCGGCGUGCUUAACACAUGCAAGUCGAACGGAAAGGCCCUUCGGGGUACUCGAGUGGCGAACGGGUGAGUAACACGUGGGUGAUCUGCCCUGCACUUUGGGAUAAGCCUGGGAAACUGGGUCUAAUACCGAAUAGGACCGCGCGCUUCAUGGUGUGUGGUGGAAAGCUUUUGCGGUGUGGGAUGGGCCCGCGGCCUAUCAGCUUGUUGGUGGGGUAAUGGCCUACCAAGGCGACGACGGGUAGCCGGCCUGAGAGGGUGACCGGCCACAGUGGGAAUGAAAUACGGCCCAGCCUCCGACGGGAGGCAGCGGCGGGGAGUAGUGCAGAAUGGGCGCAAGCCUGAUGCAGCGACGCCGCGGGAGGGAUGACGGCCUUCGGGUUGUAAACCUCUUUCACCAGGGACGAAGCGCAAGUGACGGUACCUGGAGAAGAAGAACCGGCCAACUACGGG